CACGUAGGGCGCAAGCGUUGUCCGGAAUUAUUGGGCGUAAAGAGCUCGUAGGCGGUCUGUUGCGUCCGCUGUGAAAACUCGGGGCUUAACCCCGAGCCUGCAGUGGAUACGGGCAGACUAGAGGUAGGUAGGGGAGAAUGGAAUUCCCGGUGUAGCGGUGAAAUGCGCAGAUAUCGGGAGGAACACCGGUGGCGAAGGCGGUUCUCUGGGCCGGUACUGACGCUGAUGCGCGAAAGCGUGGGGAGCAAACGGG
rnacentral:rRNA from 1 species